rnacentral:lncRNA from 1 species
CCAGAGGGAGGCCUUUCUCUGAGCUCUGCGGAGGCCAGAACCUAAGGAAUUGCCAGGUGACUCCAUGUGAAGCUACCCAGGUACCAGGAUCUGAACGUGUUAACACUGGACACUCAAAGUGGACAGAAGGGCAGACAGGCCUGGAAAGAUUGCUCCAUGUCCAGCAAAUUCCCUGUGGCCUCAUGGUGUUGCUUGUAGGUCUGGAUAGACCCUCCGUGGUUUCUGCCCAUCAUUUUUGCCUGGCUCUCACGUCCAUGGACCACCUCUCCAGAGAGCUGCUCUCAUCAUCCUUCCAACCUGGGGACACGAUUAGCACUGCCAGGACAGGGUUGCUUGGCUGGGUCAGUCAACGCACCUCCAAGAGCUGUGCCUGCCCUGUGCUCCUGCAUCCCCAGCCCACGGAUUGCCCUGAUCUCCCAGCAAGCGUCCAGACGCACACAGGUUGGUCUCCCACAGUAAGAGGAGGCAAGGCUCUCAGAGGCCUUUCUGCUGCUUUAGUUCCUCAGGACUCCUGGUUGCCAUUUGGCUGGCCUCUGGGGAACCCUGACCACUCCACGAUGUGACUUCCAGCCUACUGCUGUGAUGGUUGGAGUGGACCAGACAUCUGCUGUGGCAUGCUCUUUGUAUUUCCCAUCUCCCCACCUCUGUGGCUUACCUGGCCUCUGACUCCUCACCCCUCCACAGUCCUGGGGAUUUUGUCUGUACACACAUUUUCCCCAGCAGCCAGCUAGGUCCCUCAGAGGAUGCCCCUAGCCCAGUGCUUUACCCCAUUCCUGGAUGGAGCAGCUCAGAACAUUGGCUUUCUGAAUUUGCAAAGCCAAGAGACAGACUUGACCUGGGCUGGAUCUCUAAGACAUAUGAGGUGCCCCAAGGGCACCUCACACUGCCUUCUCCAUCCCGGAACCCCCAAAUGGAAGUGGCAGCAAAGCAUCUUGGAGAACAGAGCCUGCAUGUGAGCUGGCAGGUCUUGAUGGGAAUCUUGGCUCUUACUUUGACUCGCUGUGGGAAAUUGCGCAAGUUUUUUGGGGCUUAGUCCUGUAAAAUAAAUUUUAAAAAAAUACUGAAACAUAAGGCUGCUAGGAAAAUUCAAUGAGUACAAAGUAAUUAGCACAUAAUAAACAAACAGGAGCAGUUAUUUUAAAAUCAUUUUUGUCAGUAUUAAUAACAUCUCGUCGUCCCCGGAAAAUAGUGAAAGAGAAGGUAUUGCUGUACCACACUGCCAACUCCUCAUUUCUGAGAAAUAGGCUUUUCUCUCCACUCCAUCUAUCCUACAAGGUCACUGCCGUAUGGAGGCGGUGAAGAAGUGACUGAUAUAUUUAUAGCAGUUAGGGAAACCAUAUUUUGGAUCUGGAGAACAUCCCCCACUUAAAACCCUCUCCCGUAAUAAAAGUUUAAAGUCCUUUCCUUGCAGCUUACCUUAUUUUUUUUUUCUUAAACUACAGCAGCAAUGUCACAUUGAGGUUUCUUUCUCUGUGCAAACACCACUGUACUAAAACUUAUUUCUUACUAAAUUUUGGUUGGAGGAAAAUUAUUCCUAAGUCAUUUUUCCUAUGACCAAGAAGUAUACAGUAAUUAAAACCUUAUUUGUAAACACGAACAAGAAAUAAUUUAUAGCCUAGGUGCAAUCAUUUCACUCUUUCAUGAACUUACAUAUUUAUGUGUUUGAAUAAAACCUAUGAAUACUAACUGGCUCUUUAUUUCAGUAAAUGAGACUGUGGUGAGGAGUGAAUUGAAGGAGGAAAGUGUGGGGCACGUAAUUGAAAAAUAAGAUAGAGCAAUGGAUUUUGGAUGCAUGUCUGCUAGUGAAUCAUUCUGUGACUCUAAGUACAACACUUCGUGCUCUGAUUCCCCAUCUGGAAAAUUAUGAUAAUAUAACUAUCUGCAAAGUAUGACAUGAGAUUCUAUUUUCUAAAAAGAGGAGAACAUCAACUUUUUGGAAUUUUGGAUCCAAAUAAGCAAACAUUCAAAACAAGAGUCUAAGAAAUGAGAAUCCUUGUUUCAGGUGAAGACUGAAACAUUUUAUCCUUAGUUAACAGAAUUUGUAAUAUUUUAGGAAGCCACUUUAAAUCUAAGGUUCUAUCAAAUUAAUAAUAGUAUUCAUAUAUUGUUUAGGCAAAGGGACAGAUUAAUAGGUAAUUUACAAAAG